GGGUCAGUAGGUUGGUCGUGCCACCGGUACGUACUGGUCUCACUGGUUCCUCCUUCCUGAAGAACAGUAAUGCCAUUAAUUUGGUGUUGCGGGGAAACAGGACUGUUACUUUGAAAAAAUUAGAGUGUUUAAAGCAAGCUAACGCUUGAAUACAUUAGCAUGGAAUAAUGAAAUAGGACGAUCGAUCCUAUUUUGUUGGUUUCUAGGAUUGACGUA
rnacentral:rRNA from 1 species